rnacentral:rRNA from 1 species
GACGAACGCUGGCGGCGUGCUUAACACAUGCAAGUCGAACGGAAAGGCCCUGCUUUUGUGGGGUGCUCGAGUGGCGAACGGGUGAGUAACACGUGAGUAACCUGCCCUUGACUUUGGGAUAACUUCAGGAAACUGGGGCUAAUACCGGAUAGGAGCUCCUGCUGCAUGGUGGGGGUUGGAAAGUUUCGGCGGUUGGGGAUGGACUCGCGGCUUAUCAGCUUGUUGGUGGGGUAGUGGCUUACCAAGGCUUUGACGGGUAGCCGGCCUGAGAGGGUGACCGGCAACAUUGGGACUGAGAUACGGCACAGACUCCUACGGGAGGCAGCAGUGGGGAAUAUUGCACAAUGGGCGGAAGCCUGAUGCAGCAGCGCCGCGUGCGGGAUGACGGCCUUCGGGUUGUAAACCGCUUUCGCCUGUGACGAAGCGUGAGUGACGGUAAUGGGUAAAGAAGCACCGGCUAACUACGUG